GGCGCACGGGUGAGUAACACGUAAGUAAUCUACCUUUGAGUGGGGAAUAACGUCCGGAAACGGACGCUAAUACCGCAUAAUGCAGCGGCAUCGCAAGAUGACAGUUGUUAAAGAUUUAUCGCUUGAAGAGGAGCUUGCGGCAGAUUAGCUAGUUGGUAAGGUAAUGGCUUACCAAGGCUACGAUCUGUAACCGGUCUAAGAGGACGGUCGGUCACACUGACACUGAACAACGGGUCAGACUCCUACGGGAGGCAGCAGUCGGGAAUUUUGGGCAAUGGGCGAAAGCCUGACCCAGCAACGCCGCGUGAAGGAUGAAGUAUUUCGGUAUGUAAACUUCGAAAGAAUGGGAAGAAUAAAUGACGGUACCAUUUAUAAGGUCCGGCUAACUACGUGCCAGCAGCCGCGGUAAUACGUAGGGACCAAGCGUUGUUCGGAUUUACUGGGCGUAAAGGGCGCGUAGGCGGCUU
rnacentral:rRNA from 1 species